rnacentral:rRNA from 1 species
CAGUCGCCGCGGGAAUACAGAGGGUGCGAGCGUUAAUCGGAUUUACUGGUCGUAAAGCGUGCGUAGGCGGCUUCUUAAGUCGGAUGUGAAAUCCCUGAGCUUAACUUAGGAAUUGCAUUCGAUACUGGGAAGCUAGAGUAUGGGAGAGGAUGGUAGAAUUCCAGGUGUAGCGGUGAAAUGCGUAGAGAUCUGGAGGAAUACCGAUGGCGAAGGCAGCCAUCUGGCCUAAUACUGACGCUGAGGUACGAAAGCAUGGGGAGCAAACAGGAUUAGAUACCCGUGUAGUCCCUGUCUCUUAUAC